GGUUACAUUCCGAACCCGGUAGCUAAGCCCUCCAGCGCCGAUGGUACUGCACUCGGGAGGGUGUGGGAGAGUAGGACGCCGCCGGAC
rnacentral:rRNA from 1 species